ensembl:lncRNA
CCCUUGCCCAAGUCGGGCGGGGGCCCCGGGCCCCGGCCGGACCCGGGCGGGCUCUGGCGGCCGCUCUGGGAGACGCAGACCCGAGCCCGCGGAGCCUGGGGGAACCCGGGCGCGCGGAGUCCGCCGGCGGCGGCGGAAGCAGCCAGGCUCCUCCGUCUGUGGAAUUCUCCAGGCAAGAAUACUGGAGUGGGUUGCCAUGCUCUCCUCCAGGGCCUCUUCCCAACCCAGGGAUUGAACCCACAUCUCUUGCAUCUCCUGCAUUGGCAGGCAGGUUCUUUACCACUGAGCCACCUGGAAAACCCAAUAAAAAUGCAGGUGUGGUCCAUCCUGUCCUGGGGGAUCCUAGACCUGAUAACUUCCCAGGGGAGCUCCAGGCAGCAGAUGGCAGUUUAACACAUGAACUUCUGGUCAAGCAGAGAAGCUGCAAGAGGACAAGGGCUUUGUCUGCUCACUGCUGCAUCCUUAGAACCAAAAACAUUUGUGAAAGGAAGGAAAGGA